AGAGUUUGAUCCUGGCUCAGGAUGAACGCUGGCGGCGUGCUUAACACAUGCAAAUCGAACGAUCCUUCGGGAUAGUGGCGGACGGGUGAGUAACGCGUGGGAAUCUGCCCUCAGGAGGGGGAUAACGGCUGGAAACGGCCGCUAAUACCCCAUAUGCCGAGAGGUGAAAUGAAUUUCGCCUGAGGAUGAGCCCGCGUCUGAUUAGCUAGUUGGUGGGGUAAAGGCCUACCAAGGCAACGAUCAGUAGCUGGUCUGAGAGGAUGAUCAGCCACACUGGGACUGAGACACGGCCCAGACUCCUACGGGAGGCAGCAGUGGGGAAUUUUCCGCAAUGGGCGAAAGCCUGACGGAGCAACGCCGCGUGAGGGAUGAAGGCCUCUGGGCUGUAACCUCUUUUCUCAAGGAAGAAGACCUGACGGUACUUGAGGAAUAAGCCACGGCUAAUUCCGUGCCAGCAGCCGCGGUAAUACGGGAGUGGCAAGCGUUAUCCGGAAUUAUUGGGCGUAAAGCGUCCGCAGGCGGCCUUGUAAGUCUGUUGUUAAAGCGUGGAGCUCAACUCCAUUUAAGCAAUGGAAACUACAAGGCUGGAGUGUGGUAGGGGCAGAGGGAAUUCCCGGCGUAGCGGUGAAAUGCGUAGAUAUCGGGAAGAACACCAGUGGCGAAGGCGCUCUGCUGGGCCAUAACUGACGCUCAUGGACGAAAGCCAGGGGAGCGAAAGGGAUUAGAUACCCCUGUAGUCCUGGCCGUAAACGAUGAACACUAGGUGUCGGGGGAAUCGACCCCCUCGGUGUCGUAGCCAACGCGUUAAGUGUUCCGCCUGGGGAGUACGCACGCAAGUGUGAAACUCAAAGGAAUUGACGAGGGCCCGCACAAGCGGUGGAGUAUGUGGUUUAAUUCGAUGCAACGCGAAGAACCUUACCAGGGUUUGACAUCCUGCGAACCCCUGAGAAAUCGGGGGGUGCCUUCGGGAGCGCAGAGACAGGUGGUGCAUGGCUGUCGUCAGCUCGUGUCGUGAGAUGUUGGGUUAAGUCCCGCAACGAGCGCAACCCACGUCUUUAGUUGCCAGCAUUCAGUUGGGCACUCUAGAGAGACCGCCGGUGAUAAACCGGAGGAAGGUGUGGAUGACGUCAAGUCAUCAUGCCCCUUACAUCCUGGGCUACACACGUACUACAAUGCUACGGACAAAGGGCAGCAAGCUCGCGAGAGUUAGCAAAUCCCAUAAACCGUGGCUCAGUUCAGAUCGUAGGCUGCAACCCGCCUACGUGAAGGAGGAAUCGCUAGUAAUCGCAGGUCAGCAUACUGCGGUGAAUACGUUCCCGGGCCUUGUACACACCGC
rnacentral:rRNA from 1 species